AAGCCUCACUGAGGGGACCUCUCAGCCAAGACCUUAAAGGAAUAAGGCAGCAGACCUCGUGGGUACGUGGGGAGGAGCAGGGACAAGCCCUGAGGGGGUCCACGUCUGGGUGUUGGAGAGAAAGCCAGACGGGAGGAAGAGAAGGGAGGCCGGGUAGGCACGUGUGAGCCUGCGGCUCCUGUAAGGGUGUCGCUGUCACUGUGUCGGCAUCUGGGGAUGCCAGAGGGUCACACUGUCCCCGUGCGUCGGAUGCAGGCCACAGGGCAGGGCAGGUGGAGUCUUGCAGCCAGGGCUCCUGUGACCACGGCUUCCUCCAUGCCCCACUUCAGCCGCACCCACUUCGCUGUCCGACCGGGGCUCCCUACAACCACUGUGGUCCAGGCUUCCCGCUUUUCGGCUACAGCUUACUGCCGGUCACCCUCCCCGCACUCCUCUGCUGCUGGAGCUCCUUUGUACAUGCAUCUGUUCGUGGUCCAGAUGCUCACAUAUCGGAGAAGGAAACUGUUACCCCAAACUCACAGGUCGUCUCCCGUUGAAGUAGAAGUGUUCUGUCUGGGUAGAACUCCGUCCUCUCCCUCCUCCACACCUGAUUCGUGCCCCCCACGGCAGGGGCGGGGGCUGACCCUCUGUCACAGCUCUUCGCUGUGCUCUCCCAGCUCCCCAGAUCCACGCUCCUCUCUUGCUCCCCCCGCGUUGCCGUAUCUUACUCUUUCCCAGAACCGUCUCCCCGCCCCCCCCGCAUAAAUCCUCCCUGCCCACAAGCCUGUGCUCCCCUCACAGCAGACCCGGCGCCACUGUGGGAGGCAGGCACUUGCACCCCUUCCCCGCCCUCACCUUCUUUUGUAAGGCGCAGUGAAAGACAAAGAUGAAAACCCCCUGGAAGGCGUUGAAGGUGGUGAAGAGAUAGGCCAUCACCACCGACUCCUUAUUGAUGAAGAGCAGCCCGAAAGCCCAGACCCUUCAGCUAUCUUUUGCUGCCUGUUUCCUUGAAGUGGACUUCCCUUUUGGACUCAGCCUUACCGCAGGCAGCGAUGUCCCCAAAGGCACAGGAAGAGCAGCUCGGCCAGGAAGAGGUUGAUGCACAGGUUCUUGUGGAUGGUGUUGCGGUCGGUCUGCAGCCCCCGCAAGAAGCAGAAGGUAGAGAUACAGAUGGCCAGGCAGACGAGGGAGAUCACGAUGCCCACCCAGGUGAUGACCGACAGCAGCAGCUCGUUGAUGCGGCCCUGGUACUGGGGGAGGGGCGGCACUCAGCACCCAUGGCCUCGUAGGUGGCCAGGCUCAUGCUGGGCUCAGCCAGGGACUAGGGGAGAGCAAGGCCCCAGGUCAUGGGAGCCACCAGUGCGGUCCAUGUGGCCUUCUGGGCAGCCCCCUCCCGCCCACCCCCCCCACCCCAGGCUAACUGCAGGUGGCACACUCCUUCCUGCUCUGGAAGGCUGUGGAGAGAUGACAAAGGGGACCCAGCUUGCUUCUCCAGAGGGCCUUGGGAGAAGGUGGGGGACGGAGGCCAGAAAGAACCAGCCAAAUGGCCUCAUGCCCCAGGCAAGAUUGGUGGUCCCCCUCCUGCCCCCAGGCCCACAAAGCUGGCCUCCCUGCACUGCCCAGGCCGCGCACUACGAUGCCAUGCAAAGCCAGGCCAGCAGGGGGGCCUGCCCGGAGGGGCGGGGCGCCGGCCAGCUUACGAUCUCGUGGUGAGCCAUCAGCACAGCAAAGUUGGUGAGGUGGCUGCAGGCACACGUGGUAUGGGUCUUGUUGGACUCCACCAGGCGGCAGCCCUGGGUUGACCAGUAGCCCAGCAUGGAACGCUCCGAGUAGUUCCAGAAGGAGCAGUUAGCAUUGAAGUGGUUCUUGGCCUGUUAUGUGGUGGUGGCUGGGCAGUCAGGUCCAGGGAAUCCCGUUCCAGCCCCCGCACCCAGCUACCGGGAUAGUGACGAGCAUGGGAAAAGUGCUCGGGGCUCUAAGUGACCCUCUGGGGCUCAGAACAAAAGGCCCAAGCGAGGUUGGGGGACUGGUGUCCCAGGAAGGGACCGUAACAUGUUCUUGGGGUGGGUGAACACAGUGCGGAAGACCUGCAGUCUGGGAAUGGAAGGUUGUGGGGCCCCACAGAGGGAGGGGGACGCUCCAGCUCACCUCCAGGUGGGCCACGGUGAAGAUGACAGGGUCCAUGAGAAAGACACGGCUGGACUCCUUGUUGAUGGACGCCGCGAUGACCUGUGAGUUCACCACGAGGGAGGCGCCGCCCAGGCCGCCCGCGCCUGCUUCGCCCGCCAGCUUCACUGUGGCAUUCUCGGUGGACAGGAAGAGGCCCAGGUUGUUGUAGAGGAUGAAGACCACUUUGACCACACCUGGGGGCCAGGGCAGGCUGUCAGGCCUCGGCCAGCACACCCCCAGCCACACUGGCCUCCGGGGCCUCCAAAGCCAGGCUGCAGCCCAGGUGCAGGGGGCUUGGGGAACCCUUUUGUGUACCAUUGUUCAGCUGUAAGCAGCUCCAAAUGAGGAAACAUCCUUGAGGAAACCCCCAGUCUCUGAGCCUUAGUCUCAAAUGGGACAGGCCUCCCUGAGCCAUGAGUGGACUGCUCUUACACAGGAGUGAGCCCUGCAAACUGCAAAGUUCGUACGCUGCGGGGCUUUGGGGGGGGACCCCACAAACCCCCUGAAAUGUUGUGCGAGCUGGAGUGUAGAACAAGCCUGUGUGCUGUUGUGGGUCCCACCCUUUUCUCGGAUCCUUCAAAACCAAUAAAACCUCAGAACCGA